UUAAUUAAAACUAAAAACACCAAAACACACACCUUUGUGUGUGUUCUGGUCGUACAAAACACAGGAGCCAAGAAGGGCUCUCAAGCUCAAACCCAAACAAGCAUAAAAUCAACAAAUUGAAGGGGUAAAUCCAACCUAAAUCGAAAUCCAAGCACGAAUUCAUGAUCACCUCGAUGAAGGGAUCAUAAGUUUGACUCUUGACAAGCUAGAUGGAGGCUUGGGGAAAGAAGCGGGUCAAACGGAUCGUAUACGCGGAAAAGAGCAUAAUCCGGAUACUAGGAAUAAAUAUCGAUUGAAUGUUGACAUCGCUAUUACUUAGCGGCUACUAAGGCAAGGUGAAGAUGGACCUAAUCCGGAUGAAGAUCAAGCGGCGAGCAAGAACUGAACACACGUUAAAUGAAGCUUCCGCGUCAAAUCUUGAUUUGUGUUGAUAUAAGUGAAUUAUGUAAACACUUAUAACUUGUUUUUUAAAUGUUGUAAUCAUUUGGGAAUGUUGGUAUAACAAGUUUUGUAAAGACACAUUUUAGCAUAAAAAUCUGUAUCUUUUAUUAAAA